AAGUCCUGUAUAAAAUAAUUCUCUACCUUCAAGUGGGGCAAAGGAAACAUCCUUUUAAAACUCAAGCAAACUGGGUGUUUGUCCUGUAGCCUGUCAGAGGAAACAAGU